rnacentral:rRNA from 1 species
GAGGAAUAUUGGUCAAUGGGCGAGAGCCUGAACCAGCCAAGUCGCGUGAAGGAAGACUGCCUUAUGGGUUGUAAACUUCUUUUAUACAGGAAUAAAAAGGCUUACGUGUAGGCCAUUGCAAGUACUGUAUGAAUAAGCAUCGGCUAACUCCGUGCCAGCAGCCGCGGUAAUACGGAGGAUGCGAGCGUUAUCCGGAUUUAUUGGGUUUAAAGGGUGCGCAGGCGGGCUUUUAAGUCAGCGGUGAAAUCUGGACGCUUAACGUCCAAACUGCCGUUGAAACUGGGAGUCUUGAGUAUGGAUGAAGUAGGCGGAAUUCGUUGUGUAGCGGUGACAUGCAUAGAUAUAACGAGGAACUCCGAUUGCGUAGGCAGCUUACUAAGCCAUAACUGACGCUCAUGCACGAAAGCGUGGGGAUCAAACA